CCUACGGGUGGCAGCAGUGAGGAAUAUUGGUCAAUGGGCGCGAGCCUGAACCAGCCAAGUAGCGUGAAGGAUGACUGCCCUACGGGUUGUAAACUUCUUUUAUCAAGGAAUAAAGUGAGGCACGUGUGCCUUGUUGUAUGUACUUUAUGAAUAAGGAUCGGCUAACUCCUGGCCAGCAGCCGCGGUAAUACGGAGGAUCCGAGUGUUAUCCGGAUUUGUUUGGUUUUAAGGGAGCGUAGAGGGGUUGGUAAGUCAGGUGGGAAAGUUUGAGGCUCAACCGUAAAAUUGCAAUUGAUACUGGCAGUCUUGAGUAGAGUUGAGGUAGGCGGAAUGCGGGGUGUAGCGGUGAAAUGCUUAGAUAUCACGAAGAACGCCGAUUGCGAAGGCAGCAUAC
rnacentral:rRNA from 1 species